rnacentral:rRNA from 1 species
UACGUAGGGGGCAAGCGUUGUCCGGAUUUAUUGGGCGUAAAGAGCUCGUAGGUGGUUUGGUAAGUCGGAUGUGAAAUCUCCAGGCUCAACCUGGAGGGGUCAUUCGAUACUGCCAUACUAGAGGUCGGUAGGGGAGUGUGGAAUUCCUGGUGGAGCGGUGAAAUGCGCAGAAUAUCAGGAGGAACACCCGUAGCGAAGGCGGCACUCUGGGGCCAUUC